rnacentral:rRNA from 1 species
GAUGAACGCUGGCGGCGUGCCUAAUACAUGCAAGUCGAGCGAACAGACGAGGAGCUUGCUCCUCUGACGUUAGCGGCGGACGGGUGAGUAACACGUGGAUAACCUACCUAUAAGACUGGGAUAACUUCGGGAAACCGGAGCUAAUACCGGAUAACAUGUUGAACCGCAUGGUUCAACAGUGAAAGACGGUCUUGCUGUCACUUAUAGAUGGAUCCGCGCCGCAUUAGCUAGUUGGUAAGGUAACGGCUUACCAAGGCAACGAUGCGUAGCCGACCUGAGAGGGUGAUCGGCCACACUGGAACUGAGACACGGUCCAGACUCCUACGGGAGGCAGCAGUAGGGAAUCUUCCGCAAUGGGCGAAAGCCUGACGGAGCAACGCCGCGUGAGUGAAGAAGGUCUUCGGAUCGUAAAACUCUGUUAUUAGGGAAGAACAAAUGUGUAAGUAACUAUGCACGUCUUGACGGCACCUAAUCAGAAAGCCACGGCUAACUACGUG